CAGUCGCCGCGGUAAUACGAAGGGGGCUAGCGUUGUUCGGAAUUACUGGGCGUAAAGCGCACGUAGGCGGAUAUUUAAGUCAGGGGUGAAAUCCCAGAGCUCAACUCUGGAACUGCCUUUGAUACUGGGUAUCUUGAGUAUGGAAGAGGUGAGUGGAAUUCCGAGUGUAGAGGCGAAAUUCGUAGAUAUUCGGAGGAACACCAGUGGCGAAGGCGGCUCACUGGUCCAUUACUGACGCUGAGGUGCGAAAGCGUGGGGAGCAAACAGGAUUAGAUACCCCUGUAGUCCCUUGUCUCUUAUA
rnacentral:rRNA from 1 species